GCGGGCAUAGCUCAGUUGGUAGAGCGCAACCUUGCCAAGGUUGAGGUCGCCGGUUCGAGCCCGGUUGCCCGCU
rnacentral:tRNA from 3 species